GGUCAUGUGAGAUCACAGGGACGAAGCAGCCUUCAAGGACUAGAGCCCAGUGCCAGUGCAAAGAGCAAGAGAGUCUGGAUGAAAUACUGAAGGACCUGCUGAAGCAGAAGGAGCUGGUCACCCAGCAAAGGGACUUGGCAGAAAAGCUACAACAUCACUUCAGUGUCACUGAGAUGAGGUCAGAAAAUCUCCAGUCUGAGUUUGAACAGGCACAGCCUAGGAUGAGAGCCUCCUGCAGACAAAGCUGCUGCAUCAGGAGCAAUAAGUGUCACAG